GGGCCCGUGGCCUAGUCCGGAUAUGGCGCCAGCCUUCUAAGCUGGUGGUCCCGGGUUCGAAUCCCGGCGGGUCCG
rnacentral:tRNA from 1 species